rnacentral:tRNA from 1 species
GGAAAUUUAGGUUCAAAUAAACCAAUAGCCUUCAAAGCUUUUAACAAGGGUUAAAUCUCUUAAUUUCUG